CACUAGCUAAGGCCCUCCAAAAACUACGUAGCCGCAAAGGAGGUAGGAGUACAAAGAUGGUUAGAAGGUUUGCUUAAAAGCAGUCACCUUUAAAAGAGUUCGUAAAAAAAACUCAUCAAUCGAGCACUCUUACAUCGAAGAUAGAUGGGGUUAAGUGAUUGGCCGAAACUGUG
rnacentral:ncRNA from 1 species